CUGGCUCUGGGAUGAUGCAAAGGGGAUGGUGGAUACCACCUCAACACACAGAAACAUAAACUUCCAAUUUUGCAACUGCUGCCCCUCAAUCCAAGGUAAUGGAGCCCUACAUCCCAAAUGGAAAGAGGCCCCUGUCCCCUUCCCCACCUCCCAGCCUUACCAGGCCCCACUCCCACACCCCCAGCACAGUGGUCUCAAACUCAACACCUUCUGCCUGUACCUUUAUCUCCACCCUGGCUAACUAACUUGAUUCAUUCUUCAGGUCUAAGCUUAAAAAUAAUUCCCUCCAGAUCUAAAUCAGGACCACAAAUAUCACUGUAUAUCAUGGCAUUAAUCUUAGGUUAUGUUUACACUGAAGUAUCUUUUAACAUCCCUUUCCACCACUGCAUAAUCUCUGUUUGCCACAGGGUCCUCAGACCCUGGAAGAGCACCAACCACAGAGUAGGUACUUAGAAUUUUUUGAAAUGAAUAAAUUAAAAAUUCAGGAACCAGGAUAUGAAGUUAGGGUCUUGACUAUACCACUAAAGACCUUAGAAAGUCACCCAAUCCUUCUAGAUCAGGAAUCUAGCAAACUUCCUGUAAACAGCCAAAUAAUAUUUUACACUUUAAGAGCCAAGAGGCAAAAUCAUGGGCAUCAUUGUGUAGGUACUUCUACAUAUAAUGACAGAAAACUUCUGCCCACUCUCACCCCAUUUGCCUGGGCUAGGGAAUCCCAGAGAGUGGGCAUGCUUUCCACCCAUCAACUAGAGACAUUCUUGGGACAAAGAAUAACAGAGCAGAGAGGGAAAGGAAGUUCUGACUGACCAAGUGAGUGAAGGAAGUCAGUUUCAUUCUCUGUCCCACAGACACUCAGAUCUGACAUCCUCUCUCUGUAACCGAGGACCCCAGAGCAUCUGGCUAGAGGCAAGAGGACUCCAUGGCUCCCAGACUCAGAUUCCACCACUUAGUGCCUGGCAGUAGCCAGCAGCAGAGUUCCUAAUGUGUAGGUGGCGAAGAAUAAGCACAAGCCCUGGGAAGUGGCAAGACCCCUCAAAUGGCCAGUGGGAGAGAUGAGGGAAGAGGUCAGACAAGAAGGAUGUCCUGGCUUGGUCUCCAAAGCUCAGUGCCAGGCCAUUCUCAGUGCCUGCUGACCUUACAAAAACAGAUGAUGACAAAGGCCUCCAACAUUCUGCCUGCACUCAUGUACAGAAGCCCUGGGUGUGUUCUCUAAAAGUAGAAUCCUGAGGACUACAGAGCCCCAUACUCGGAGUUGGAGUGGACCUGGCCCGAAGCCCUCACCACACAAAGUCCUUCCAUAUGAAUGUUCCUGCCUAUGGUCCCUUGCAAUCUUCCUUGUAACUUUCAUCUCUAAACACUUCUCUGACAACUUUGUGCCUAAGCUAAAGAUCCUUCAGUGGUUCUCCACCACCUGCAAAAUAUGAGGCUCUCAUUGCUUCUACAUUUCUAGCCUCCUCUCCUACACUUACCCUUCUAAUAUAGACUUAGUUUUAGCGACAUAAAACUACCUGUCUUUUCCUGAAUGUAAUUCCACAUCUUUAUCCAUGCUGUUCCCUCUGCCUGGGAUUGCCUUUCUCCAUUUGGCCCAAGGCAUGCUUCCUUUAAAACCCAGCUAUCUGACCAUGGUCCAGAUCCUCCCUGCCUCCAACUUCCUCUGUCACCCCAAGGAACACGAAUACAACCUUUACAAUACUUCUGAGGCACUGAUUUUUAAGUAUGCCUCCCCCAUGACACAGGGGCUCCUGGGGGCAGGGGCCCCCCCUUAAUUUCUAUGCCUCUCUGUCCAUUUCUCUCCCACUCACUUACUAAAUGGAAAACAAAAACCCUCUCCUCCUAAGGUUUUAACCUUCACAGCCAAUAUGCAUUUGAGCUCUAUGUUCCAAUCACUUGUAACAGAAUCUUUUUCUUUAAAAGGCUGUUAGAGACCAAAGAUGGUCCCAACUUGUUUUUUUUCCUUUUUAAUGUCUCCUACUACUUCUGCCUUUCUCCUUCCUUUUCCUUGAGAGAUAGUACAGGGCAGAAGAGCUCAAGCCUAGACUCCAAUCUAAACCUGAAUGGAACCAGAUGACCUGAUGCGAGCCACAUUUCCAGUUUCCUCACCUUACACAGGAAUUGGGAAUAACAGAAUCUACCUUAUGGACAGUAUGCUUCACACAGUGUCUGGCAUGAUCUGGGAGAGAUGAGGGAAUAAUAAAUGUUAUCUAGUAUUCUCU